AGUGGCGAACGGGUGAGUAACACGUGAGCAACCUGCCCCUGACUCUGGGAUAAGCGCUGGAAACGGCGUCUAAUACUGGAUAUGUGACUCGACCGCAUGGUCUGUGUCUGGAAAGAAUUUCGGUUGGGGAUGGGCUCGCGGCCUAUCAGCUUGUUGGUGAGGUAAUGGCUCACCAAGGCGUCGACGGGUAGCCGGCCUGAGAGGGUGACCGGCCACACUGGGACUGAGACACGGCCCAGACUCCUACGGGAGGCAGCAGUGGGGAAUAUUGCACAAUGGGCGCAAGCCUGAUGCAGCAACGCCGCGUGAGGGAUGACGGCCUUCGGGUUGUAAACCUCUUUUAGCAGGGAAGAAGCGAAAGUGACGGUACCUGCAGAAAAAGCGCCGGCUAACUACGUGCCAGCAGCCGCGGUAAUACGUAGGGCGCAAGCGUUAUCCGGAAUUAUUGGGCGUAAAGAGCUCGUAGGCGGUUUGUCGCGUCUGCUGUGAAAUCCGGAGGCUCAACCUCCGGCCUGCAGUGGGUACGGGCAGACUAGAGUGCGGUAGGGGAGAUUGGAAUUCCUGGUGUAGCGGUGGAAUGCGCAGAUAUCAGGAGGAACACCGAUGGCGAAGGCAGAUCUCUGGGCCGUAACUGACGCUGAGGAGCGAAAGGGUGGGGAGCAAACAGGCUUAGAUACCCUGGUAGUCCACCCCGUAAACGUUGGGAACUAGUUGUGGGGUCCAUUCCACGGAUUCCGUGACGCAGCUAACGCAUUAAGUUCCCCGCCUGGGGAGUACGGCCGCAAGGCUAAAACUCAAAGGAAUUGACGGGGACCCGCACAAGCGGCGGAGCAUGCGGAUUAAUUCGAUGCAACGCGAAGAACCUUACCAAGGCUUGACAUAU
rnacentral:rRNA from 1 species